rnacentral:rRNA from 1 species
UACGUAGGGUGCGAGCGUUAAUCGGAAUUACUGGGCGUAAAGCGUGCGCAGGCGGUUUUGUAAGCCAGAUGUGAAAGCCCCGGGCUUAACCUGGGAAUGGCAUUUGGGACUGCAAGGCUUGAGUGCGGCAGAGGAGGAUGGAAUUCCGCGUGUAGCAGUGAAAUGCGUAGAUAUGCGGAGGAACACCGAUGGCGAAGGCAAUCCCCUGGGCCUGCACUGACGCUCAUGCACGAAAGCGUGGGGAGCAAACAGG